UAAAUUCACCACAGUACAUUCUACAUAAAUGGAAGAUGAUAUUCACUGCUAAACAAAAACACCUUGCUUUCUCCAGUUUAUCUGUUCCUUGAUAGAUGACACAGAAGGUGUGCGUUUAGAUGGAGUAGAAAACAGUAGCACAUCUAUCAGAUGAUUAAUUGGAUUGAGAUUUCAAGAAUUUGGAAGCAAAGUCAACGUCUUGUCAUGAUUCUUGUACUAAUGUUUGCAGUGUGGCUGGGGGCAUUAUCUUGCAAAAAUAGGCCACUGCCAUUAGAGAAUACUGCUGCCAUGGAGCUUUUUAGUGUAAUCACUGGACACGGGACAGGGGCUGAACUACAGAGGAGAACCAUAGAGGAGAAUUUCUAUCCACACAUCUGUUGUUUGAGAACAUUUCCCUUCCGAGGUUGCCGACCCUUGGGCUUCCCCCUCCCCCCUUUUUUUCUCUUUGUUUUCAAUUAAUGAAUAUGUGGUAUCUGUAGUAUCAGUAUCGCACUGAAACCA